CCCCCCUCGCUCUCCGCGCCCCUCCUCGCUCUCCGCGCCGCGCGCCCCCUCGCUCUCCGCGCCCCCCUCGCUCUCCGCGCCCCUCCUCGCUCUCCGCGCCGCGUGCCCCCUCGCUCUCCGCGCCCCGCCCCCCCCGCUCUCCGCGCCGCCCCCUCGCUCUCCGCGCCGCACCGGCCUCCCCCGGGUCCAGCGCAGUCCUGCCAGGAGGGCCUGUCGCGCAUCCGGCGCGGAUGUCCUCCGGGGCCCCGAGCUAAGAGCUCCCAGCACGUCGACUCGUUCCGCCUUCCCAACAACCAGAGUGGGGCGGGUACUGUUAUUGCCCCCUUGCUCGGAGGCGGUCGCGGAGGCCGGACGACAGGCGAGGUCGGGAGCCGGAGGCGGUGCCGGUGCACAUCGCCCUUGGGGUCUGCAGGCAGUUGGCGCGCCCUUGGAUCACACGCUGGGAUGCAGCAGACAUUGGCGAGGUCUCCUUGGGGAGGGGGCGUGUAACUGCCUGCUGAGGAAGAUGGGGCAGCUGGGCCUCAGAGAGGAAACACCAGGAACUCCGGAGAGACCUUCACUGAGUUCUGGCGAAACGAGUGAGUUGACUGAGUCCUCUACAUGCCUGGCGCUGUGUGGAGUGUUUCCCCGCAUCGUCUCAUCCAAUCCUCAGAAAUAAUCGUGUGCAGGAAGUGCCGUUACUUUCCUUUCUUUUACAAAUAAAGAACCAAUGCUCAGAGAGGGCAAGUGAUUUGCCCAAGAUCACACAGCCCACAAGUGUCAGAACCAGGAUCCCAGCCCAGACCCGCAGGCUCUGGCGUCUACCCUUGUAACCCUGGCACCUGAGUCUCCCAAACUCCCUUCUGCUCCGAGUGUUGUGUCAUCCGUGCUCUGUCUUCCUUCCUCUGUGUUCUAAAUGGACUCCCCACUCGCCCUUUUUUUUUUUUUUUAACUAAACCUGUUUCUGUACAAAAGAAACCGUAUAUCAUUAGCA
rnacentral:lncRNA from 1 species